GGUUAAGCGACUAAGCGUACACGGUGGAUGCCCUGGCAGUCAGAGGCGAUGAAGGGCGUGCUAAUCUGCGAUAAGCGCCGGUAAGGUGAUAUGAACCGUUAUAACCGGCGAUACCCGAAUGGGGAAACCCAGUGUGACUCGUCACACUAUCAUUAACUGAAUCCAUAGGUUAAUGAGGCGAACCGGGGGAACUGAAACAUCUAAGUACCCCGAGGAAAAGAAAUCAACCGAGAUUCCCCCAGUAGCGGCGAGCGAACGGGGAGGAGCCCAGAGCCUGAAUCAGCAUGUGUGUUAGUGGAAGCGUCUGGAAAGGCGCGCGAUACAGGGUGACAGCCCCGUACACAAAAGCGCAUAUGCUGUGAGCUCGAUGAGUAGGGCGGGACACGUGGUAUCCUGUCUGAAUAUGGGGGGACCAUCCUCCAAGGCUAAAUACUCCUGACUGACCGAUAGUGAACCAGUACCGUGAGGGAAAGGCGAAAAGAACCCCGGCGAGGGGAGUGAAAAAGAACCUGAAACCGUGUACGUACAAGCAGUGGGAGCCCCACCACUAAGCCAGUGGUGAACUCCACAUACGCAUCCUUUGCUGAGGAUACGGUUAACGGAGCGAAAGCGACGUUCAACCGCAAAAGAAGCAGAGGGGGCUUAGUGGUGGGGUGACUGCGUACCUUUUGUAUAAUGGGUCAGCGACUUAUAUUCUGUAGCAAGGUUAACCGAAUAGGGGAGCCGGAGGGAAACCGAGUCUUAAUUGGGCGUUAAGUUGCAGGGUAUAGACCCGAAACCCGGUGAUCUAGCCAUGGGCAGGUUGAAGGUUGGGUAACACUAACUGGAGGACCGAACCGACUAAUGUUGAAAAAUUAGCGGAUGACCUGUGGCUGGGGGUGAAAGGCCAAUCAAACCGGGAGAUAGCUGGUUCUCCCCGAAAGCUAUUUAGGUAGCGCCUCGUGAAUUCAUCUCCGGGGGUAGAGCACUGUUUCGGCUAGGGGGCCAUCCCGGCUUACCAACCCGAUGCAAACUGCGAAUACCGGAGAAUGUUAUCACGGGAGACACACGGCGGGUGCUAACGUCCGUCGUGAAGAGGGAAACAACCCAGACCGCCAGCUAAGGUCCCAAAGUCAUGGUUAAGUGGGAAACGAUGUGGGAAGGCCCAGACAGCCAGGAUGUUGGCUUAGAAGCAGCCAUCAUUUAAAGAAAGCGUAAUAGCUCACUGGUCGAGUCGGCCUGCGCGGAAGAUGUAACGGGGCUAAACCAUGCACCGAAGCUGCGGCAGCGACACUCAGGUGUUGUUGGGUAGGGGAGCGUUCUGUAAGCCUGCGAAGGUGGCCUGUGAGGGUUGCUGGAGGUAUCAGAAGUGCGAAUGCUGACAUAAGUAACGAUAAAGCGGGUGAAAAGCCCGCUCGCCGGAAGACCAAGGGUUCCUGUCCAACGUUAAUCGGGGCAGGGUGAGUCGACCCCUAAGGCGAGGCCGAAAGGCGUAGUCGAUGGGAAACGGGUUAAUAUUCCCGUACUUGGUGUUACUGCGAAGGGGGGACGGAGAAGGCUAUGUUGGCCGGGCGACGGUUGUCCCGGUUUAAGCGUGUAGGUGUGUGUUCCAGGUAAAUCCGGUUCACUUUAACACUGAGGCGUGAUGACGAGGCACUACGGUGCUGAAGCAACAAAUGCCCUGCUUCCAGGAAAAGCCUCUAAGCAUCAGGUAACAUCAAAUCGUACCCCAAACCGACACAGGUGGUCAGGUAGAGAAUACCAAGGCGCUUGAGAGAACUCGGGUGAAGGAACUAGGCAAAAUGGUGCCGUAACUUCGGGAGAAGGCACGCUGACACGUAGGUGAAGUGAUUUACUCACGGAGCUGAAGUCAGUCGAAGAUACCAGCUGGCUGCAACUGUUUAUUAAAAACACAGCACUGUGCAAACACGAAAGUGGACGUAUACGGUGUGACGCCUGCCCGGUGCCGGAAGGUUAAUUGAUGGGGUCAGCGCAAGCGAAGCUCCUGAUCGAAGCCCCGGUAAACGGCGGCCGUAACUAUAACGGUCCUAAGGUAGCGAAAUUCCUUGUCGGGUAAGUUCCGACCUGCACGAAUGGCGUAAUGAUGGCCAGGCUGUCUCCACCCGAGACUCAGUGAAAUUGAACUCGCUGUGAAGAUGCAGUGUACCCGCGGCAAGACGGAAAGACCCCGUGAACCUUUACUAUAGCUUGACACUGAACAUUGAGCCUUGAUGUGUAGGAUAGGUGGGAGGCUUUGAAGUGUGGACGCCAGUCUGCAUGGAGCCGGCCUUGAAAUACCACCCUUUAAUGUUUGAUGUUCUAACGUGGACCCGUGAUCCGGGUUGCGGACAGUGUCUGGUGGGUAGUUUGACUGGGGCGGUCUCCUCCUAAAGAGUAACGGAGGAGCACGAAGGUUGGCUAAUCCUGGUCGGACAUCAGGAGGUUAGUGCAAUGGCAUAAGCCAGCUUGACUGCGAGCGUGACGGCGCGAGCAGGUGCGAAAGCAGGUCAUAGUGAUCCGGUGGUUCUGAAUGGAAGGGCCAUCGCUCAACGGAUAAAAGGUACUCCGGGGAUAACAGGCUGAUACCGCCCAAGAGUUCAUAUCGACGGCGGUGUUUGGCACCUCGAUGUCGGCUCAUCACAUCCUGGGGCUGAAGUAGGUCCCAAGGGUAUGGCUGUUCGCCAUUUAAAGUGGUACGCGAGCUGGGUUUAGAACGUCGUGAGACAGUUCGGUCCCUAUCUGCCGUGGGCGCUGGAGAACUGAGGGGGGCUGCUCCUAGUACGAGAGGACCGGAGUGGACGCAUCACUGGUGUUCGGGUUGUCAUGCCAAUGGCACUGCCCGGUAGCUAAAUGCGGAAGAGAUAAGUGCUGAAAGCAUCUAAGCACGAAACUUGCCCCGAGAUGAGUUCUCCCUGAGACUUAGAGUCUCCUGAAGGAACGUUGAAGACGACGACGUUGAUAGGCCGGGUGUGUAAGCGCAGCGAUGCGUUGAGCUAACCGGUACUAAUGAACCGUGAGGCUUAACCUU
rnacentral:rRNA from 1 species